GAUGAACGCUGGCGGCGUGCCUAAUACAUGCAAGUCGAGCGAACGGACGAGAAGCUUGCUUCUCUGAUGUUAGCGGCGGACGGGUGAGUAACACGUGGAUAACCUACCUAUAAGACUGGGAUAACUUCGGGAAACCGGAGCUAAUACCGGAUAAUAUUUUGAACCGCAUGGUUCAAAAGUGAAAGACGGUCUUGCUGUCACUUAUAGAUGGAUCCGCGCUGCAUUAGCUAGUUGGUAAGGUAACGGCUUACCAAGGCAACGAUGCAUAGCCGACCUGAGAGGGUGAUCGGCCACACUGGAACUGAGACACGGUCCAGACUCCUACGGGAGGCAGCAGUAGGGAAUCUUCCGCAAUGGGCGAAAGCCUGACGGAGCAACGCCGCGUGGGUGAUGAAGGUCUUCGGAUCGUAAAACUCUGUUAUUAGGGAAGAACAUAUGUGUAAGUAACUGUGCACAUCUUGACGGUACCUAAUCAGAAAGCCACGGCUAACUACGUGCCAGCAGCCGCGGUAAUACGUAGGUGGCAAGCGUUAUCCGGAAUUAUUGGGCGUAAAGCGCGCGUAGGCGGUUUUUUAAGUCUGAUGUGAAAGCCCACGGCUCAACCGUGGAGGGUCAUUGGAAACUGGAAAACUUGAGUGCAGAAGAGGAAAGUGGAAUUCCACGUGUAGCGGUGAAAUGCGCAGAGAUAUGGAGGAACACCAGUGGCGAAGGCGACUUUCUGGUCUGUAACUGACGCUGAUGUGCGAAAGCGUGGGGAUCAAACAGGAUUAGAUACCCUGGUAGUCCACGCCGUAAACGAUGAGUGCUAAGUGUUAGGGGGUUUCCGCCCCUUAGUGCUGCAGCUAACGCAUUAAGCACUCCGCCUGGGGAGUACGACCGCAAGGUUGAAACUCAAAGGAAUUGACGGGGACCCGCACAAGCGGUGGAGCAUGUGGUUUAAUUCGAAGCAACGCGAAGAACCUUACCAAAUCUUGACAUCCUUUGACAACUCUAGAGAUAGAGCUUUCCCCUUCGGGGGACAAAGUGACAGGUGGUGCAUGGUUGUCGUCAGCUCGUGUCGUGAGAUGUUGGGUUAAGUCCCGCAACGAGCGCAACCCUUAAGCUUAGUUGCCAUCAUUAAGUUGGGCACUCUAAGUUGACUGCCGGUGACAAACCGGAGGAAGGUGGGGAUGACGUCAAAUCAUCAUGCCCCUUAUGAUUUGGGCUACACACGUGCUACAAUGGACAAUACAAAGGGCAGCGAAACCGCGAGGUCAAGCAAAUCCCAUAAAGUUGUUCUCAGUUCGGAUUGUAGUCUGCAACUCGACUACAUGAAGCUGGAAUCGCUAGUAAUCGUAGAUCAGCAUGCUACGGUGAAUACGUUCCCGGGUCU
rnacentral:rRNA from 1 species